GGAUAUUUCUGGAGGAUAGGCCAC
rnacentral:siRNA from 1 species